rnacentral:lncRNA from 1 species
AUGGCUGGCCUUAGGAGCUAGCAGACAAAAGAUUCCACCAACUUUGGUCAGGCCUUGCAUGGAUUUCUCCAUCUGUGUCCUUCAGACAAACAAUUUUUUAACCCUUGACCAGGACUUGUCCAUCAGUCCUCAGCAAGCUUUGAGACAAUGGUGCAAAAGAAUAAUCUCUUACAGCAAUGCACCUGAGUGAUCAGAAGGGGUGGAGCCAGGAUCCAUCCCUGCCCAGAUCUCAUUUAUGGGUUGGCAGUGGAGGCAAAGAUAUUUUUACUGGAAAUCUCUGCCUGCCAGAGGCUUUUUGAAGAAACAGAACAUACCUUCAUACUGGACACUAUAAAGAAAAAUCAAGUCUAUUCCAGCUGAAACCAGGGCAGUGAGACAGAAGAGAGAGAGAAACUAACCACUAUCAAUCUGUAAAGGAUACAAUGCAACACAGCCAAAACCAGCACAGUUCUACACUGAAGUGUGGGGAUACGCUUGAAAACAGAUGUCCCCAUGUCCUCCAUGUUAUUACAUGCAGCCCUAGCUGUACUGCUUGAAUGCUCAGCAGACUGUUUACCUGUAUCUGGGCACUAUGAAUGUGAGAGUCUGAAAUCAGAGUUGUUUUAAAUUUAUUUUCCCUUCCCAUAGGAUAUUGCACUGAGCUACUGUAAAGUUAUUGUGCAUCAGAGAAAUUGAGCAGUCAUUAUAUUUCCAAGUGUUUCUAAAUUAUAACUUGAGAUGAAAUGAUUCAUUUGUUAAUCUAAAGGGUCAUUUCUUUGCCUUGAUCUUCACUGGCAGUCAGGCUUCCCACACCUCUCAUGUCCCUAAACCUUCAAGGCAGGGAUCAGGGGAGCAAAAUCCUUCCCACUGUUGUAGAAACGGUAUGCCCCUAUGUUCUUUGGUAUAGCCAUGACUCACUGCAUUUCCUUCUCUUUCCCCACUGUUACCACCACCCAACUCCAAAGGGAAAACCAGUGUUUUAUGUGUGUAUGUGUGUUUACACACAGGGCUGUGCACUGGUCAGUUUUUGUGAUUCUGAGAGUACUGGCCCUUUCCAUUACUCAGUGCUUGUUGUUCUUCUCCAAACACCUCUUAAGAAACCUGGCAGCAAAGCAUUCAGGCAGCUACAGCCUCACAACAGCAAACAGGAGUGUUUAGGGGCAGUUGCUUGCUCUGUCAUUAACAUAUUUCCAGAUAGCAGAUUUUUGGAGAACUAAAAAGUACUAGAACUCAAGUCCUACCAGGAGUGCACAAUUUGUUACAAGGCCCUGGUGGGCAACUGAGAAUUUUGAGAUCCUUUAUGAAAAGUGAAUCUCCAGGUAAGUGAGGAGCAAGUACAUUAGAUAUCAGAAAGCAACCAGCUCAAGAACACAGAAAAAAAGGCAGUAAGGCAAUACAUAGUCUUAUCAAGGCCAGAGUAGAGCACCUAGACUUUCUGUUAUUGUAAAAUUCUCAUAAAAACUGUGUCAAGCUAUGCAGUUAAAAAAAGAACUUCAAACUUGUUGCAUUUGAAAUGCAUUAAAGCUAAUGGAGAAAAUAUAUAGGUUUAAAGUUAAAAACAAAACAAACCAAAAAAAAAAAAAAACCACUAUUCCAUAAAUCAAGAAUGUCUGUAGCAGGACUUUUUAAGAUCCCCAUGACAAUAUAUUUCUUUCAAGUGUCUCAAAUUGCCAAACUGCCCAUAAUUUAGGAGAUGGACUGUAGAGAGAAACGUGACUUCAGACACCUGCAGUGCUUACAUCUCCAUUUGCAUUUUGUCAGUUUAGCUCAAGAUAAAAUGAAGAGAUAAGGCUACUCCCAGAAGUAUGGUCUUCUAUGGACUGGAACAGAAGGAUAAAAAAAUCAUAGUAAUUAAUGUUUUUAUAUUCCAUCUUGCUAAACUCCUAUUUAAAUGUAGAAAAGAGAUUUUGAAAAGCAGCCUUUGCCAAGUUUAGGACAACAGAUGCUACGCUGGAAAACUGCCCGGUUGCUUUCUGGAAUCUGAAGCCAGUGAAAGGGAAGGCCAUUGCAUCAAUGAGAAAAGAAUUACAGAUAAACUAAUUUCUGGGUACAUUAUUGAAUUAUGGUAUAAAUACAAUGUGUGGAAAUUGAGUUUUCCUAAAUCUGCCGUAUUUGAAUUUGUAAUUUUAAAAUUCUUUCAGUAUUUUUGAUGAAAUGUCACUGGAAAAUAUUAAUGAAACAGUUAUAUGAUAGAAAAUAAUAGUUAAUCAAAACCUGGUUUUGCAAAACCAAUGUAACCCACAUAAGAUUUCUCCAAAAUGAAAAACAGUUUCUAUAGAUAUAAAUAUUAAGAAUCUACACUGUCU